GAUGAACGCUGGCGGCGUGCCUAAUACAUGCAAGUCGAGCGAACGGACGAGAAGCUUGCUUCUCUGAUGUUAGCGGCGGACGGGUGAGUAACACGUGGAUAACCUACCUAUAAGACUGGGAUAACUUCGGGAAACCGGAGCUAAUACCGGAUGAUAUUUUGAACCGCAUGGUUCAAAAGUGAAAGACGGUCUUGCUGUCACUUAUAGAUGGAUCCGCGCUGCAUUAGCUAGUUGGUAAGGUAACGGCUUACCAAGGCAACGAUGCAUAGCCGACCUGAGAGGGUGAUCGGCCACACUGGAACUGAGACACGGUCCAGACUCCUACGGGAGGCAGCAGUAGGGAAUCUUCCGCAAUGGGCGAAAGCCUGACGGAGCAACGCCGCGUGAGUGAUGAAGGUCUUCGGAUCGUAAAACUCUGUUAUUAGGGAAGAACAUAUGUGUAAGUAACUGUGCACAUCUUGACGGUACCUAAUCAGAAAGCCACGGCUAACUAC
rnacentral:rRNA from 1 species